rnacentral:rRNA from 1 species
AGUGAACGCUGGCGGUAGGCCUAACACAUGCAAGUCGAACGGCAGCACAGGAGAGCUUGCUCUCUGGGUGGCGAGUGGCGGACGGGUGAGGAAUACAUCGGAAUCUACUUUUUCGUGGGGGAUAACGGAGGGAAACUUACGCUAAUACCGCAUACGACCUACGGGUGAAAGCAGGGGACCUUCGGGCCUUGCGCGAUUGAAUGAGCCGAUGUCGGAUUAGCUAGUUGGCGGGGUAAAGGCCCACCAAGGCGACGACCCGUAGCUGGUCUGAGAGGAUGAUCAGCCACACUGGAACUGAGACACGGUCCAGACUCCUACGGGAGGCAGCAGUGGGGAAUAUUGGACAAUGGGCGCAAGCCUGAUCCAGCCAUACCGCGUGGGUGAAGAAGGCCUUCGGGUUGUAAAGCCCUUUUGUUGGGAAAGAAAUCCAGCUGGCUAAUACCCGGUUGGGAUGACGGUACCCAAAGAAUAAGCACCGGCUAACUUCGUGCCAGCAGCCGCAGUAA